rnacentral:rRNA from 1 species
CCUACGGGAGGCAGCAGUGGGGAAUAUUGCACAAUGGGGGAAACCCUGAUGCAGCGACGCCGCGUGAGUGAAGAAGUAAUUCGUUAUGUAAAGCUCUAUCAGCAGGGAAGAAAAUGACGGUACUUGAGUAAGAAGCCCCGGCUAACUACGUGCCAGCAGCCGCGGUAAUACGUAGGGGGCAAGCGUUAUCCGGAUUUACUGGGUGUAAAGGGAGCGUAGACGGCAGUGCAAGUCUGGAGUGAAAGGCGGGGGCUUAACCCCCGGACUGCUCUGGAAACUGUACGGCUGGAGUGCAGGAGAGGUAAGUGGAAUUCCGAGUGUAGCGGUGAAAUGCGUAGAUAUUAGGAGGAACACCAGUGGCGAAGGCGGCUUACUGGACUGUAACUGACGUUGAGGCUCGAAAGCGUGGGGAGCAAACAGGAUUAGAUACCCGAGUAGUC